GCAUCGGUGGUUCAGUGGCAGAAUCCUCGCCACCCAAGCGUGCGACCCGGGUUCGAUUCCCGGCCGAUGCA